GAGAGUAGGUUAUUGCCAGGGUUUUUAUUUUUAUACUUUAAACUUUGAUUUUAUUUUUAUGUUUUUUAAAUAUUGGUGUUUUUGAAUGUGUUGUUUAAAUAACAUAAAAAAUAAAAUAUAUAUAUUGACAUGCAUUAAACAAAGAUAUAUAUUAUUUUAUGUUGUAUAAAUAAAUUGGCAAAAUAGAGAUGGAAGAUAAAAAUA
rnacentral:misc_RNA from 1 species